GAAUGUCUUUAACCUUGUACUAAUCCUAGCUUUUUUUUUUCGUUUAUUUUCUUUUCCUACAUUAUUUGAAACCUCGUGUAGGCUAAAAGUGUUGGUUCAUUUGUAUGCCUAUUUUCUAGCUUAGGUACUAAAAGUUUAGUUUUUCUUGUAUUAAACAUUGUUAAUUUCUCUUUAGAGAUAUCAUAACCAGCAAGCUUAUCACGUGCCGCUAAGUCCCUUUCAUCUUCACUGUCGUCAAAUCUAAUUUCAUAAGUUUCAUCCUCGUUACUAUCAUUGCCCUCAUUACAAUCACUUUUCUCAUCAUUAUCAACUUCAUCACAUCCGGCAUCUCUCCAAUAACCUCAACAUCUUGACAACCAACACAACUACACCCCCUAACUGAAACAUCUCUCCCAAAUCGCAUGAACCCUAAUCAGUUUCCAUAGUUUCUCAUUUCUUAAUUUCUCUUUCAAAUCGCAGGAAUCCUAACCUAUAUAUGGCGAAUCGUAAGCGCAAUUUCAGUGUGACCUUGGAGCUCGAAUGCUUCAAUCUUUUUCAAAGCUUGAAGCACCUGUGACUUAGAGGUAAACAUGAAGGGAGUUAUGGAAGAAAUAGUUGGAGCUUCCUCUCAAUGUUCAAUGGCCUGCUG